AAAAUUAGCACUUUGAAAACAUUCAUCUUUCAUCUUUCGGCCCGAGUGGGAGCAAAAUUCUCUGUCCAGGAGCAAAAAGUAAAUUUUCAAGAACCGAUCAAUCAUCAUGCCGUACAUUUGCCGUCAUGUGAUUCACUGUGGACCAUAUAGUCGACCAAUGCCAGGACCCCUUUAUGGACCAAACAGAGGUAUCUGUGGACCCGGCAUGCCUACCAUAUUUCCCUGCAGUCGGGAUACACCUUGUGGCCCCAUUUCCCGUCCAUGUUGGGGACCGAAUGGGCCAUGUAACAGAAUCGAAUACUACGAUCGCUAAAGAAAAUAAAUAAUCCAACUUACCUCAUCAACUCGAAACUGAUGCAGAGAUGAUUCCGGAAGUAGAAGUAAUCUAGCAUGUGAAUCACAUUGUACGAUCCAUCGGCAUCCUUUUUCCUCAGCUCGUCCAGUAUCCGCACCUCGACGAGGGCCUGAUGGUGGAAGCGCUUCUUGUUGCGGAUGAUUUUGAUUGCCACGUGUUGAUUGGUUUUGUGGUCCAGGGCCCUAAUGACCUGACCGAAACUGCCCUUUCCUAUAACUUCCAGGAUUUCGUACCGGUAGCAGAUGUGAUCGUGGAUGACUUUGUUGUAGCUACCGUUAUCGUCAUCGUAGCCGGAAUUCAGCGACGUUCCCGGUUUGGCGUUGAUUUUGCAGGCAUCCAGACCCAGAUAGUACACUUCCGGGUACUUUUCGAUUUCCUGCUUUUCGUAGUCCGUCAGCCGGGUGCCGUGGUAUUUGAGGGCUUCUGAAAGGUAGAAGAGAAAAAACAGCAUAUUCAGAAAACGAACUAGUGACAGAGUUCGAUAAAAAAAAACAGUUUUCCAUUAUAAAAAAAUUAAGCUUUUGUAAAAAGUUCUCCUGAAUGUGACAAAACAAUCGGAAACAAUAAUUCAG